AUUGAACGCUGGCGGCAGGCCUAACACAUGCAAGUCGAACGGUAACAGGAAGAAGCUUGCUUCUUUGCUGACGAGUGGCGGACGGGUGAGUAAUGUCUGGGAAACUGCCUGAUGGAGGGGGAUAACUACUGGAAACGGUAGCUAAUACCGCAUAACGUCGCAAGACCAAAGAGGGGGACCUUCGGGCCUCUUGCCAUCGGAUGUGCCCAGAUGGGAUUCGGUAGUAGGUGGGGUAACGGCUCACCUAGGCGACGAUCCCUAGCUGGUCUGAGAGGAUGACCAGCCACACUGGAACUGAGACACGGUCCAGACUCCUACGGGAGGCAGCAGUGGGGAAUAUUGCACAAUGGGCGCAAGCCUGAUGCAGCCAUGCCGCGUGUAUGAAGAAGGCCUUCGGGUUGUAAAGUACUGUCAGCGGGGAGGAAGAGAGUAAAGUUAGUACCUUUGCUCAUUGACGUUACCCGCAGAAGAAGCACCGGCUAACUCCGUG
rnacentral:rRNA from 1 species